GUCGUCGAGAUCCAUUACGAUCCGUGUUGGUCAAGUCACUAUUGAAUAAAGUGUUGAUGAAAAUGAAUGUCAAAAAAAGCGCACUUCCUCAAUGGAAAUCAGUUAAGUGCGCCCAACAAGAGGGUGGGGUCGAGUGUGGCU